rnacentral:rRNA from 1 species
GUUGAAAAGGUUGUCGAGGGAUCCGAUGUAUUUUGAUUAUUAAAUUUUGUUAGAGUGAGGUAAGAAAAAUAUUUUUAAGGUUGAGUUGGGUUUAUAGAAAUAUUUGUAAUUUAACUAUAGAGGAUAGUACUGUGCAGGAAAGUUGAAGUAUGAAUUUAAAUUGAGUCUUUAAAAAGUAGGGCUGUAGGUUUGUACCUUGUGUAUCAGGGAUAUUUUAUUUUGAGUAGUUAGAUUGUUUUUCCCGGAAGAGAGAUAGUUAAGUUAAUAUUGAGAUUUUUUGUUGCAGAAGGGUUUGUAAUUUUAAUUUAGUAGUGAAAUGUUAAUCGGGCUCUUUGGUAUCUGGUUCUUUUAGAAAUAAAUUUAAUUUAGCUUUUAUAUUAAUGGGUAUAGAAUGAAGGAACAGGAGGGGUGAGCUUUUUGUUUAAAUUUAAUUUUCUAUGGAGGGGUAAGUUAUUGGGUUUAGAACUAGGCUUAGAAGUAGCUUUGUUAAUAGUGCGUUAUAGCUAAGAGUGGAGAAGUUAUCAGAUUUUUAUUUUUCUGGAUGAAGUAUGAGGGAUUAUUUUUAAUUUUAUUUUGAGUGGUUAAAAUUGAUGUAUUAGUACAUGUUUGAGUAAUUGAAAGUUUAUUAUAGAUAAAUAAUAGUGAGUUGUUGGUUUUGUAGAGGAAUUCGGCAAAUUUUAUUUCCGCCUGUUUAUCAAAAACAUGUCUGUAUGAGAGUUUUAUAAAGUCUGGCCUGCCCAUUGGGAACUAAAAGGCCGCGGUAUUUUGACCGUGCGAAGGUAGCAUAAUCAUUAGUCUUUUAAUUGAAGGCUUGUAUGAAGGGUUGGACGAGAAAUUGGCUGUCUUUGUAGAAAUGGUGGAAUUUGACUUUUAAGUGAGAAGGCUUAAAUGUUCUAAAGGGACGAUAAGACCCUAUAAAGUUUGACGGUCUGGGUUUUAAAAGAUAAAUUGGUUAACUAGAGUUUGUUAGGAACAGGGUGUUUUGUUGGGGCGGUAAGAAUAUAAGUGAUUUAACUGUUUUAUGGUUAGCGACAAAGGUAGUUGGGUUUAUGAUCCUUGUUAAAGAUUGUUAGAAUAAAUUACUUUAGGGAUAACAGCGUAAUUUUUUUUGAGAGUUCUUAUCGACAAAGAAGUUUGCGACCUCGAUGUUGAAUUAAAAGUUCUUUGUGGCGUAGCAGUUAGGAGAGAAGGUCUGUUCGACCUUUAAAUUUUUACAUGAUUUGAGUUCAGACCGGCGUGAGCCAGGUUGGUUUCUAUCUUUUAGGUUUAAUUGGAUUAUUUUAGUACGAAAGGAUUGAAUAGUUAAAAUAUUUUUAUUUAAUAUGGUUAUGUACAAGUCAGAGAAAAAAGGGCUUCCUUUUUACUUUAAUUUCCAAAAUU